CCCAUAGCUGAAAUUCCCCGAGAUGACUCGCAUUUAAAGAGACGGCAAGUCCAAAGCUGCUCUUCAACACUUGUUGCUGAAAUGAACAGGUAGCGAUUUAGCGGGUCAAGCCAUUUGAAACAACGACAAAACCUGUUCAUAAUAAAACGUUGAUGGGCUCUGUUAAGCUAUUACCGACAAGCCAAAUCGACGGCAAAUCUACGUCUAAAGUAGGCAAUCUCGAC
rnacentral:lncRNA from 1 species